GUUUUACUAAAUAACGCAGUUGCUUUGCAUACAUGCGCCGAAAGGAAUACAAAGUCACGAAAUCAGAAUGAAGAGAAUAGGACCUCCAAAGAAAUGGACAAGACAUAGGAUAUAUGAUGUGUUGUUUCAAUCAUCAGUGAAGGCCUUACAUGUAUCAUAUUUCCUCUUGACGGGGCUUUUUAUUGUGCAGGUGGUCGGAUAUGUUAAAGUCGAUAAACCCAAAUUUCUUGAGGAACACAAGAGGAAAGAAGCAGAGAGGAUGGCUGAACUACAAGAAAAGGCAGAAAAAGAAAGACUUGGAUUUCAGACAACAUAGUGAUCUCUAGUGGAUGUACAUAUUUUGUAAAUGUGAAAGCGUGUAUGGGUGAAGAUUGUGAGCGAUGUUGUACAAUGGUGUGCUAGUCUGUAAGUAAUCACAGGCUGUGGUCCUCUCAUUCAGAAUGUAUUGUUCAAAUUUUUAUGCGAGUUUUUGUGACCUGUAUUUGUAAAAUAUCCGAAUUUAUCAUUGACGAUUGGGGAGUGAAAUUCCCUCAUAGGGGGGAUUAAAAAUGUUGAUGUAUGGUACGAUGAAGAAUGUACUUUUACAAGGUAGUGUGAAAUUAGGAUUGGACAUGGUAUCAAAAUGAUUUUACAGG